CCAGUGACCACAAGUUCAACGGCCGCGGUAUUUUGACCGUGCAAAGGUAGCGCAAUCACUUGUCUUUUAAAUGAAGACCUGUAUGAAUGGCCAAACGAGGGCUUAGCUGUCUCCCCUUUCAAGUCAGUGAAAUUGAUCUGCCCGUGCAGAAGCGGGCAUAAAAUUACAAGACGAGAAGACCCUUUGGAGCUUAAGGUUCAAAUCCAACCGCGUCAAACAACUUAAUAAGUAAGGACUAAACCUAGCGGAAACUGGAACUUUACCUUCGGUUGGGGCGACCACGGAGAACAACACAUCCUCCGAGUGGACUGGGCCAACAAGCCUAAAACUAAGAAAUACACUUCUAAGCCACAGAAAAUCUGACCAACAAAGAUCCGGCCCACGGGCCGAUCAACGGACCAAGUUACCCUAGGGAUAACAGCGCAAUCCUCUCCCAGAGUCCAUAUCGACGAGGGGGUUUACGACCUCGAUGUUGGAUCAGGACAUCCUAAUGGUGCAGCCGCUAU
rnacentral:rRNA from 1 species